AUAUUGGACAAUGGAGGAAACUCUGAUCCAGCCAUGCCGCGUGAGUGAAGAAGGCCUUCGGGUUAUAAAGCUCUUUCAGUGGUGAAGAUGAUGACGGUAACCACAGAAGAAGCUCCGGCUAACUUCGUGCCAGCAGCCGCGGUAAUACGAAGGGGGCGAGCGUUGUUCGGAAUCACUGGGCUUAAAGCGUACGUAGGCGGAUUUGCAAGUCAGGAGUGAAAUCCCGGGGCUCAACCCCGGAAUUGCUUUUGAAACUGCAUGACUAGAGUCCCGGAGAGGUUGGCGGAAUUCCGAGUGUAGAGGUGAAAUUCGCAGAUAUUCGGAGGAACACCAGUGGCGUAGGCGGCCAACUGGACGGGCACUGACGCUGAGGUACGAAAGCGUGGGGAGCAAACAGG
rnacentral:rRNA from 1 species